rnacentral:rRNA from 1 species
ACGCACGCUGGCGGCGUGCUUCACACAUGCCAGUCGCACGGAAAGGCCCUGCUUUUGUGGGGUGCUCGAGUGGCGAACGGGUGAGUAACACGUGAGUAACCUGCCCUUGACUUUGGGAUAACUUCAGGAAACUGGGGCUAAUACCGGAUAGGAGCUCCUGCUGCAUGGUGGGGGUUGGAAAGUUUCGGCGGUUGGGGAUGGACUCGCGGCUUAUCAGCUUGUUGGUGGGGUAGUGGCUUACCAAGGCUUUGACGGGUAGCCGGCCUGAGAGGGUGACCGGCCACAUUGGGACUGAGAUACGGCCCAGACUCCUACGGGAGGCAGCAGUGGGGAAUAUUGCACAAUGGGCGGAAGCCUGAUGCAGCAACGCCGCGUGCGGGAUGACGGCCUUCGGGUUGUAAUCCGCUUUCGCCUGUGACGAAGCGUGAGUGACGGUAAUGGGUAAAGAAGCACCGGCUAACUACGUG